UUUAACAGGUUUGUAUUGUCAUUUCUUCAUCCUUUUUUAUUAACUUUACUGAAUUAAUUAUAUUAUAUUUAUGUAUUGUCACUGGGAAAUGUAAAUUGAUAAGUUAAUGUAUUGCAACUUAAAGGAAAAACAACACAAUUUGAUGCAAAAAUAGAUGAACAUACACAUGACAAAGUGUAAAUGUUGUGUACAGUGAAUUAUUGUGGUUGUGUUUUAUGAUUAUUGUCAUCUUUAUUGUUAUUUAUAGAUAUUUCUGGUUAUUACUGAACAGAUUUCUUUCCCUCAUAUUUGAAUUUUGAAGGUUAAACUCUUGCCCCAAGAGCAAAGGGGUAAUCAUACUACCUGAUGUAUGGACUUUUACACCAGGCUUUUACCCUGCAAGAGCUGGCCAACUUGAGGGGAACUGAAGUGGGCAAACCUCGCCCUGUCCUUGAACAAGAAAGCUGGAUUUGUUGAGAGAGUAUCAUUUAAGCUGAAAUCCAGCAUGAAACCAGGGAGGUGAUGGCCAUCGCACAGGCCAUGUGCCAACUAUUCACUUUCCACCAGCUUGUGACUUGCUCCAUGAAGGGAGCAACAACUACAACUGCAUCACCAAGACCAAGCCUCCCCGCUGCUGAGAGAAAUGCAAUCAUUGAUGUCAUAGCCAAAACCUUUGACAAGCCUCUGGUUGAAGAAAAGAUGAGAGGUUGUUUAAGGCAUCUGCGGCUGAUGCACAACUAGACUGAAGACUUUGUAAAUAAAAUGUGCUGUUAAAAUGAUUAUUUAACCAUUGUUUUCACUUUGUUCUAUAGAUUUGCACCUGUUUCAACAACAUUAACUUAUUUUUCUGCCCCCGGUAGGGUCUCAUAUAGCAGUUGAACUGUCCGUCUGUCUGUCUAUCCGUCCGAAAACUUAGCAUUGGUCAUAACUUUUGCAAUAUUGAAGAAAGCAACUUGAUAUUUAGCAUGCAUGUGUAUCUCAUUGAGCUGCACAUUUUGAGUGGUGCAAGGUCACGUUCAUCCUUGGUCAGAGGUCAAAAUCCAAUGUAAGUAAUAAGCAAAGAGAGAUAAUUUCUAUACCUGCCAAAGAAAUAGAAAUUUUAUUUCAAAGCGGCGCAGUAGAGGGCAUUGUGUUUCUGACCAACACAUCUCUUGUUUGUAUUUAUUCCAUACAAUCUUACUUUUUUCAGUUCUUUCUUUGUGUUCAAUGUUAUGUUAUAACACUAUUAUAUUUUAUUAUAACAAUGCCAUGUCUGUCAAAAUAGUUUUAUCAUGUUGUAUAUAUGGAUAUAUAUGUAAAGUUUUAUGUUUUAGCGUUUAAAAAAGUAAUUAGAAUUUAAUGUAUGAUAUUUUUGUUCUUAUCAUAAAAAAGUUUUUCAGUUUUCAAGUGGGUGAAAAGUGGGUUUUUACUGAGCAUUUAACAGGUUUUAAAGGUAGUUUUAACUGCGUUUAAUCUGUGAAAAGCACACAUUUAGCUCACUUAAUGCUCAAAUAAAAACCCACUUUAAACUCGCUUACAACAGGAAAAACCGACUUGAUGUGUAGAAGCGGGUGUAAAAGCCAACAUAAAGAAGGAAAACACACUAACUUUUAACCAACUUAAGUUGGUAAAACUCGGUUUUAAAGCGUGUUUUAACUGCGUUUAAUCUGAGUUAAGCACACAUUUAGCUCACUUAACACUCAAACAAAAACCCACUUUUAACUCGCUUAAGAACGGGAAAAACCGACUUGAUAUGAAGAAGCGGGUUUAAAAGCCAACAUAAAGAAGGAAAACACACUCACUUUAACCAACUUAAGUUGGUAUAAGACUGUUUUAAAGUAAGUUUAAACUGCGCUUAAUCUGUGAAAAGCACACAUUUAGCUCACUUAACGCUCAAACAAAAACCCACUUUUCACUCGCUUUAGAACAGGAAAAACCGACUUGAUGUGUAGAAGCGGGUUUAAAAGCCAACAAAGAGAAGGAAAACACACUCACUUUUAACCCACUUAAGUUGGUUUAAGUUAGUUUUAGUUGGUUUAAGUUGGUAUAAGAAGGUAUAAGCGUGUUGGUUUAUGUGAGUGAAAUCCAGGUUUUACCUACAAAAAACCAAGUCGGUAAGCAAAAAGUGUGUUUAAAAGACACGCUUUAACCCGGUGCCAAUACCGCAGGGUUUAACACGGUUUUAACACGGAUUAAAACUGGGUUUUGCCCACUUUUUUGACAAGGGUUGGACCUUUUCACUUGAGGUUUCUUUUUGUCACUAUCUUCACUACUUGACUUUCUUUAAAGUUCCAUUUUGUCACUAUCUUCACUAUUUUCUUGACUUGCAGAUGACAUCGUUUUCAUAGGCUGUAUGACAGGAUCUUUGGCAAAAAUCUCAAAUGCUGUUUCAAACUUGCAAGUCUUCAGACUGCUUCCAGAUUUAGCAUCAUAGGCUUUACUUUUUGUAAGCCCUUGUUAGUGUAUUCCACCUACCGGUGACUUGCUCUGGUGAAAACUUUUUUUCUUAUUUCUUCAGCAAUCUUUUCCUACGUGCUUUUUUCCGAAGUUUUCCCUGCGCAACUUUUCCCUCAAGCAAGCCAUUAAAACUACCAAGCAGUUGUGUUUGCGCCUUGUUACAUACCUGAUUUAUGUUAUAGUCUUUAGCUUCAUCCGAAAGAACAAACUUUCUGCAAACUUCUCUGAUAUGAUACACAGGCAUGGUUUUUGAACACUUCCAUAUCUGUGAAAAACUUUCACAAUCCUUGCAUUGAAACAUGGUCUUCAAACUGUCUGUGAAUUCAAACUCUUGAAUACACUUGCCUAAAGAGAGACAAUAAGGAUGACAACCAUAGGUUUGGGAACAAUCAAGACAAUAUGAGAAUAAUAGGCCCCAUAGAGCUUGUAUUGCUCUACUGGCUCAUGUAGUGCAAGUUUAACCAUGUUUUUACCUAGUUGCUGGCCUGGCGUGAACCAAUUUUCAAAUGAACUCACUGUUAACCGCAACCAACAUGAGCAUGUUUGGUGGAUUUUGGAUAGAAAGGUGGGUUCUGUUGAGUUAACAUGGUUUUUCAUUGAUUAGCCCCUAUGACCUAGUGUUUGACCCAACAUGACCCAUUUUUAAAGGAAUAAAAAAAUCAAUGAUUAAAAUCAAUGUUAUAAACAUUCUGAGCACAUUUGAUGAAAAAUGUGGCAUCUAUAUUGUUCACAAGGUAUUUCAUUGAUUUCACUUGGUGACCUAGUUUUGACAAAACAUGACCAAUUUUGAAAGCAACCUUAAGGUCAAGUGCAACUUUGGUGAAAAUUGGAUGAAGCAUGUGGCAUCUACAGUGUUCACAAGGUUUGUCGUUGACUUAACUUGGUGACCUAGUUUUUUACCCAAAUGACCCAUUAUCAAAAAGCACCACCAGAUUAAUGGUGUAAACAUUCUGAGCAAGGGAUCAGAAAUGUAGCCUGUACACUGUUCCCAAGCAAUUGUUUACUGGCUGUUCUGUCUCAAACACAGGUUCUUCCUCCAGCCUAGGUCCUGCCUCAAGCCCAGGUUCAGUUUCUUCCUCAAGCCAAGGUCAUGCCAGUCCAAACAUCAAUUCCAUUCAAGAGGGAUUAUUCAGGGAUGCAACAACUUCAACAUACUGAUGGGUCAAUCAAUGAUUUUGCUGUCCAACAUGCCAUUCAUGCUGAGAAACUGUGCGAAGAUUGGAGGCAACAGUAUCGGAUCUUCUACUUAAGGACGCAAUCAAUGCCCCAAUACAACAUGAAACAGGGAGGCAAAAGCUAAAAUGAGGGCCAUGAAGGCAGUCUUUACGCUACAACAACUAAUGGACUGCUCAAUGAAGGGAGCUGCUACCUUCCGCCAUGGGAUUCCUUGUCCUUGCCUUCCCAAAGCAGAGUCAGGGCAUAGUUGUGAUAGUUGCAAACGCAUUUCACUGGUCUGUGCCAGAGGUAGAGAGAAAAAUGAGAGCCACGCUCCGUCGCUGUAAAGACCAGAUGCACAGACUAUAUUGAGUUCUUCGAUGUCUUUUUUAUGUAUAUAGAUUAUUCAACAUGAUUUUACAUUUUUCCUGUGAACUAGUAUAUACUGUUAUUAUUAGUAUGGUUUCAUGUUUAAUUCACUAAAAGCAAAGUUUUCGACCACAUAAAGGGCACAUUUUGACACAGUCAUAAGCAUACUUUUUCUAAUCUAGUGAAAAACGCACUUUUACCCAUGUAAAGCGCACAUUGGAAGCAGUUUCUUGUUUGUUUUUAUGUCCCCCACCACUAUAGUGGGGGACAUAUUGUUUUUGCCCUGUCUGUUGGUUUGUGUGUUUGUUUGUUUGCUUGUUUGCCCCAAUUUUAACAUUUGCAAUAACUUUUGCAAUAUUGAAGAUAGCAACUUGAUAUUUGGCAUGCAUGUGUAUCUCAUGGAGCUGCACAUUUUGAGUGGUGAAAGGUCAAGGUCAUCCUUCAAGGUCAAAGUCAAAUAUAUAGCUUCAAAGCGGCGCAAAAGGGGACAUAGUGUUUCUGACAAACACGUGCCAUAUCUUGUUGGUAAAAAGAAAUUACUUGGUAAGAAAAAAUGCACUCAAAACGCAGUGCCAAUACCGCCACGUUAAAUGCACGCAAAACCUACUUUAAACACUUUCAAGAAGGGAUUUGUUAGUUUUUAGAUUAUGAAUUUCUUCAAUCUUCUAUUUGCAACAAUUUCACUGCAAAAAUUUAUCUAGUUACAAAAAUGAUAAUACUGCUUGUAUAAAAAAGUUCUAACAAUGACACUGUUUACCGCUUCAAAGCUACUGAUGGAUAGUAUUGCUUUAAAGCUACAGAUGGAUGGUAUUGAUUCGUAAUUGCGUGAAUUUGUGUGUCAAUAUUUUCUAUGUGUGUUAUCUUGUCUGUAUUAAAAUUAUGUAUGUAUGUGUUAAUACCAAUCCUUAACAUUUGCAUGUUCGUUACAUUUGUCAUGUAAUAUUUAAUAUGCAUUAUUUUUAUGCCCCCCUUCGAAGAAGAGGUGGUAUAUUGCUUUGCACAUGUCGGUCGGUCGGUCUGUCCACCAGGUGGUUUCUGGAUGAUAACUCAAGAACGCUUGGGGCUAGGAUCAUGAAACUUCAUAGGUACAUUGAUCAUGACUUGCAGAUGACCCCUAUUGAUUUUGAGGUCACUAGGUCAAAGGUCAAGGUCAUGGUGACCCGAAAUAGUAAAAUGGUUUCCGGAUGAUAACUCAAGAACGCAUAUGCCUAGGAUCAUGAAACUUCAUGGGUAGAUUGAUCAUGACUCGCAGAUGACUCCUAUUGAUUUUGAGGUCACUAGGUCAAAGGUCACGGUGACCCGAAAUAGUAAAAUGGUUUCCGGAUGAUAACUCAAGAACGCAUAUGCCUAGGAUCAUGAAACUUCAUGGGCAGAUUGAUCAUGACUCGCAGAUGACCCCUAUUGAUUUUGAGGUCACUAGGUCGAAGGUCAAGGUCACGGUGACUCGAAAUAGUAAAAUUAUUUUCGGAUGAUAACUCAAGAACGCUUUUCCUAGUUAAGUGUUAUGUUCCUGUCUUAUGUGCACAAGUUUUCCAUGUUUAGAUGUUGUUAAAAAUAAUCUGUCAUACAUGUUUUUAGCUCAAAUGAGAACAACGUGCUCAUAGUGAGUUUUUGUGACGCCGUUUGUCCUUUGUGCUCUGUGUGUUGUCAACAUUUACCUUGUUAAAACUCCAGAGGUCACAAUGGUUAACGUCCUGUGGCACCUUGGGCCUAAGACCCUCUUGUUUUCAUAUUUUUGAAAGCUUUUACAUUUCUUUCUUAUAUUUUCUAUAAAUAUUUUGAUUUUUAAUAUGAUUCUAAAUUCCACAUGUCAAAGUCGUGUUAUAUAGUUCAUCACAACACUAUGUUAUUGGUAUUUCAGGAAGUAUUCAGUUUCUUCAGAAUGUAUAAAAUAUGCUCCGAGUUAGUAUUUGGACAAACUUAAGUUAAAUGUCACUUUACACAUCAAACAGGUCGCAAUUGUGUAGUGGAUAUUGUGUCUGUCUAUUGACCACAAGGUCACAGUUUAAUUUCCCUUGUCGAAGCGUUCUUUAGAUCAUUACGAUAGUUACCACGUACUGGUUCUACCUAGGAAACGGACUCAAUAGCAUUUUAAUACGCCUUAGACUUUGGAAUCAAUCAAUAUAAUAAAUAUUGGUUGAAACAAAAUAAUUAUAACCAGCAAUGAAUACAAACUGGACUGUUUCUUGAAAUAAGAUUGCAUCUACCUUGUGUAUACUUUAUCAUACAUUAUAGCACUUGCAGUACGGUACAUUUGUAUAAGCAUCCAAUCACUGCUUUACUUAACCUUUAUAUACUCUUCACCUGCUGUUUACUCAAAAACACUUGUUCCAGCAAAUUAAAUUAAAUUGCUUAUGGCAAACAGGUUCCUCAUCAUAGUAAAUUUUCAUUCAUAUAGGAAGAAGGCAAUUCAUGUUUCAAAACAAGUUCAUUGACGGUUGUUCAGUUUUAUUCCUCAAUAAUUGCAAUGCUUAUUGCAUGAACAAUUUUUUACAUCUUUGUCUUUUUUAAGUAUGCCCAUUACGUAUUCAUCAUAAAUCAAAUCUAAAAUUACACGCCUUACCAUUUGCAUGUUUGUAAUGUUUGUCAAAUCAUAUUGAAUGUGCCUUCCCUUUGCAAUGUCCAUGGUCAUGGUCAUGUCUUGUGUUGAUAUGCUUUCAAUAUCAAGACAGUUAUGCAAAAUAUUUAUGUUCAACAUGUUUUUUUAUAUGUAUGAUAUCCUUUUCAUUGUUUUCAUAGAUUUCUUAUGAUUAUUAUGAUGUGUUUCUGAUUUUCACAUUGUUUUCAUAUAAAUGCAAUGAUUAUAUACAUGUGUUUUUUUUAAAUUUAACAUUACACAUCUAUUGCCAUAUUCAUAACAACCAUGUAUUAUUUGUAUUUCCACUAUUUUAAAUGUUCUAUAUUAUGCUUAAAUAUUUUGUAUCAAUAAAUACAAAGUUUUAUAUCACAGUACAGUUCAUUUAUACUAACUAAGUACCCUUUCAUUUCAGUUAUGUGUAGUCUACUUUCAAAACAGCUGAUUACACAAUUGUGUUAAUAAUACUUGAUUAUUGUGUCUUCUGUAACAAAAUACUAAACCCAUGUCUUUAUCAACAACCAUAAUCCUUCCAUAACAUUAUGUUAAACCUAGUCUAAUAUCAUAUCGUUCUUUUUAGCUCACCUGAGCAGGGUGUUCUCAUGGUGAGCUUUUGGAAUCACCUUUUGUCUGUCUUGUGUUUACCGUCGUGCAUCAUCAUCGUUUUGACUUGUUCAGACUCAAGAAGCCACAUUUAUCUUCUGAUCUUCAUGAAACUUGGUCAGAAGAUUUAUCCCAAUGAUAUUUUGGUCGACUUGGAAAAUGAGUCAUGUGAGGUCAAAAACUAGGUCAAAUUAAAGAACAUGUUUGUAAACACUCUAGAAGUCACAUUUAUAGUCCAGUCUUCUUGAAACUUGGUCAGCACAUUUGUUCUUUUAAUAGCUCAGCUGAGUUCAAAAAUGGUCCUGAUCCGUUGAAGCGGCCGCCAGUGGUAGGGCAGUUUUCCUUAUAUUGAUUUAGUAAAACCUUAACACAGUAGAAGUCACAUUUAUAGUCAAAUCAACAUAAAACUUAAUUUGGUCAGAACAUUUUUUCUAAUGAUAUCACUGCUGAGUUCAUAAAUGGUUACAGUUCGUAGGAUUACAUGGCCACCAGGGGUCGCUGCAGUUUUUCUUAUUAAGUUGUAUUAAAACAUUGUUAUCACUCUAGAUGUAAUCAGGAUGAGGUUUCACAAUGGUGAUGAUGAUAAUGAUGAUGAGGAUGACGAUGAUGAUUAUGGUGACGAUGAUGAUGAUGCUUAUACAGGUAAUGGAUUCAGAGCCCUUAAUAACAAGCCAUAUAUCUAAUUAUAUAGCCAUAACUUAAGAUUAUUAUCUAUAUUUUUCCGAAAAUCACAUUUUACUAAAACCAGGAAAACAACUAAAAUUGUUCAUAAGAUUUUUUUUACCUAUCAUAUCACCUAUCCUUUCCUCUUGCCCUAAACUUAUUUAUACAUUAUUGUAUUGAAUGACCUUCUUCAAUGGCCAUCUGAUGAUUGUGUAACAGGGGUACAGCUCAAACUCUCUGGUAUUUUGCCAUAAUUAACUGGACACCUAAAUCAAAGGAAUUUGAUUGAUAAGAUAAGAUAGAUAACAGCUUGCAAAUGUUUUUUGCAUAUUGUUUAUUGAUGAGAUCAAAUGCAAAGAUUUGUGUUUUUAGGUUUUUAUUGUUGUUUAGAAUGGAAAUAUUAUUGCAAGGUUAGGCUAAGAAACAUCUCGUGUCGGAUGUUUGGUUCCUUAAUAGAAGAUCUAUUUUGAAUUUCUAGAAGAUUUGACCAUACGCAUUUACUUCUUUAUAAACAUCUUUGAUAUAUUAUAACAAUUCAACAUGGUAUUCAUUUAUGCCAAAACUAUUUCAUAAACACACAGUCACAAUCUUAUGAAAAAUUAAAUUGUUUUUCGUAUCUAAAGCUGUUGUUAUGCACCCACAUUACAUAAUGAUUAAUCAAUAAUUUUAUUAAAGUUAAAAUAUUAUUUAGUUAUAAUAUUUAAGUGUUAUAUAGUUUUAGCUUAAAGGUUUUUUGUUAAUACAAAAUGUUUUAACUGCUAAGUUAAAAUAUAAUUUAGUUUCAAUUUAAAAGUAAAAUAGUUGCAUUUGCUGUGUUAUUAAAAACUAAUUAAGCCAAUUUAAAUAAUAUUGUUACAUCGAUCAUAUCCAGUCAUCUCAACUUGAAGCCUUUAGCCUUAAGCAAACAAUGAGAGCUUAUGUUACAUAAUAUUAUUUCAUAUUACCCAAGCAGCCUAUUUAAUUGUCACCUUUUAUCAUAAAAUUGACAUUUCUGAUUGCAUUUAAUUGUUAAGAUUAAUCAUUUGUCUAGACAACUGUUAAGAAAUAUGGGUAUAUAACUGAAGAUUAUUGAACAUGAAAAAUAGAUAGAAUUUAGCCUUUCUUAGUGACAUUAGACUUUGUGAUUUUCUGUGUGAUAUAAAUUUACUUUGUGAACGUUAUAGGAAAAUAUUUAUUAUAAGCAAACAUUACAUUAACAUAACAAGUUAAACUCUGUGUCAGAACUGUGUGAUAUAUGGACUAUUGUUAUCAUUGCUGUUGAACAAAAUACUUUGUGAAAAUAAACACUAAAAUUAUUAA